rnacentral:tRNA from 1 species
GCAAAUAUAGUUUAACAAAAACACUAGGUUGUGGUCCUAAAAACAGGGGUUAAAAUCCCCUUAUUCGCC